GUGCUUGCUUCAGCAGCACAUAUACUAAAACUGGAACGAUACAGAGAUUAGCAUGGGCCUUGUGCAAGGAUGACACGCAAAUUUCGUGAAGUGUUCCAUAAAAAA
rnacentral:snRNA from 1 species